rnacentral:rRNA from 1 species
UACGUAGGGUGCAAGCGUUGUCCGGAAUUAUUGGGCGUAAAGAGCUCGUAGGCGGUUUGUCGCGUCGAAUGUGAAAACCCGGGGCUCAACCCCGGGCCUGCAUUCGAUACGGGCAGACUAGAGUUCGGUAGGGGGAGUCUGGAAUUCCUGGUGUAGCGGUGAAAUGCGCAGAUAUCGGGAGGAACACCAGUAGCGAAGGCGACACUCUGGGCCGGUACUGACGCUGAGGAGCGAAAGCGUGGGGAGCAAACAGGG